rnacentral:piRNA from 1 species
AGCUAAGUAGCCAGGGAUUCUGG